ACCCAUCUUCAUAUCCUGAUAUCCACAUUCUUAUAACACCACAUAAGCAAAAUCAUGAGCCCAAACAAACUAAUCCUAUGACAUUAAAGCACCAUUAACAUAACCAACAUUCAUAAGCCUUCAGCCCAAAGUGCAUCCUUUUCCGCUGCAAAAGCAAGAAAAACAACAUAAAAAAAUAGUCCUUGAACAGUUUGUUCUACCAUUCUCUUGACUCUCCUAACCGCUUCUAGACCCCUUAUUAAGUUGUUAUCUGGUGUUGCAUCUUGCUCGCUAUCUAGAAUAAUAGACAUGUUCAUAUCCCUUAUGCAUCAUAGCCCUUCUAACACCCAAUGUUUCCUAUAAGCUUUAUGUUCGUGCAAAACCAACACAAUGGCAACCUUCCAGCUUAAAGUUGUGAAUAGCAAUACCAACUCCCAAAAAGAAAUCUGCAUGAAAGCUUUAAGUCCAACACCAGACAAAACAAUAACAACCAAUAUAAGGCCCUUGCACAAGGUAAACAACCUUACCAAAUACAUCUAUAACUGGUUUGCAAUUCCUCCUUUCCCUAUAAAUCGUCCUUUCACUUUCCGCUAAGAUCAUUAUCAUGUGAAGACACUAUGCCUUUUCCUCUUUACACAUUCCUUGCACAUGCAACAAAAGAAGAUACCACAUCCAAGUAAGCAAUAUCUUACACGUAACCACUGCAGCCUAGCAGAUUAACCAACACCACAACAAACUAUAAAACUCAUAUAACAGUUUCACCACUUCUUCUACCCCCAAAACGGAAUGAAAUCCAAAAACUACCUCUAAGAAUUCUCUUCUAAUGGAUUUUAAGUGUUCUAUUAAUAGAAGAGGUCAUAGAGAGUGACGUUUCCUGUAGUGGUGAUGCGGCGGUGCGGUUCUGCUAGGAUUCUCUCUGCAACACAAGAAAUCAACCAAAAAACAGAAGGCAAAAAACAAAGAACAAAGGUAGAGUGAUAGGGAAAGGAACCCUAGAAGAUGAGAAGAGAUUAGAGAAACAGGGGCAGAGAAUAAGCGAGAGAAAGAUAGAAAGAAUCUUUUAUU
rnacentral:lncRNA from 1 species